AAAAACAAAUAAAACAGACUUAAGAAGUUAAAAUGAAUAAUAAAUAAAUAAAAAUAUGGCAGACCUACAGAGCAUUUAAAAGUCGAAUUGCCGAAGGUAUAACGACUUUAAAAACCGGUUGGUUCUCCACACCGGGGACGCCUAACGGCGUCUAAAGGAAGCAGAGAAAACUCUCCUAAAAGAACAUGAGCUGACAUGGACAAGAUGAUUUCAGCCUUCCGGAGGAUCUGUUGAUUACAAAAAGAGUGUAAGUCUCUUUGUUUCACACCUAUAAUCUUUGAACAGAUUUUAACAAUGUUGUUCAGGCUGUUUCUGUCUUUCACUGAGAGGCUAAAUAUUUUUGGACUG